UAUUGAGCUCCAGAUGUAUUAGACUGCUUGUCUAGCAUGUGAGAGAACCUGGGUUCUACCCAGAACUAGAAAAAAAGAAAGAGAAAGUCUUCAAUAUUAGCAAUUAACCCUAAUGCUCUAAAGCACCAGUUGUGUUGAAUUUAAAACAAUAUGCUUAAGUAUUUUCUCUUUUUCUAAAACAUAAAUAUGUUUGAACAGAAACCAAGCACACGGAAAAUGUACUUAUCUGGCUAUGGCGUGGAGCUAGCAAUUAAGAGUACAGAAUACAAAGCACUGGAUAUAUCCAAGUUAAAACCUCAACUAAUAAUACCAUAGAAGAUGAGACUGAAGCAACUGAAGUACACGGAUUUCUCUUUGGGAAGUUAAAAGAACUAUAUUCAGAUCUUAGAGAUAAUCUGACAAUAUUCCAAAAAUACCUGAUUGAGAGUAACAAAGAAAUGAUUCCUUUGAAAGUCUGGGAACUACAAGAUCUUAGUUUUCAAGCAGCUUCUCAAAUAAUGUCCACUCCAGUGUAUGAUGCCAUAAAAUUAAUGAAAGACAUUUCACAGAAUUUCCCCAUAAAAGACAGGUG